AAGUGGAGAAGUGGUCUCUACGCU
rnacentral:miRNA from 1 species